rnacentral:lncRNA from 1 species
GGAAACAGCAUGGGCAAAGCCUAGUGUUUUGAGUUGAAUUCAUAUGCUAAUGUCCUGACCCCCAGUUCCUCAGGACAUGACCUUAUUUGGAAAUAGGACCGUAGCAGGUGUAAUUAGUUCAGAGGAAGGCGCACUGGAGCAGAGGGGACCCUGAUCCAACAUGACUGAGCACAGGAGUUCUCCAGCUCUAUGGGCUAAGGAUCUGGCAUUGCCUCUGCCCUGAUGGGGUUUGAUUCCUGGCCUGGGAACUUCUGCAUGCUCUAGGCAUAGCCAAGGAAAAAACCAAUAUGAUUGAGCACAGAAACACAGAAAAGGCCACAUGAAGAUGAAGGCACAGGAGUUCUCACUGUGGUUCAGUGGGUUAAGGAUUCAGCUUUGCUGCAGCUGUGGCUCGAUUCUAUCCCUGGGAACAUCCAUAUGCUGUGAGUAUGGAAGGCGGGGUGGAAUAAAAGAAUGAAGGCAGAGAUAGUGCGUCCAGAAGCCAAAGAAGGCUAGCAAUGGCCAGCGAACCACGAGAAGCUGGGAAAGGUACAGAACAGGGUCUGCCUCCCAGCCCUCAGCAGGAACCAACCCGGCGACCACCUGGAUCUCACACUUCCAGACUCCGGACUGAGAGACAGAAAAUUGCUGUCGUUUAAGCCACCCAGUCUGUGGUACUUUAUGACAGCAGCCCCAGCAAACGUUUUCCCAGCAUGGAGAACGUGCAACCACAAGUUCGGAGAAGAGCGCAUGAUUCAGCAAGAAACGCUUGCGCUAGACUCCAUCUUGGGUAAAAGAUGCAUGCGCACACACAGGGCAAGGCCCUGAGUCAGGCCAAAUGUGGACUCAAGACCAGACAAAGCAAGAUGAUUGGCCGGAAGAAACGUGGAAGAACUGCCCCCAUCCAUAGAGGAGGGCAGAGCUGAUUGCCCAGGCAAGAGCAAAGAGGUGACACAGACUCUAACUUGCAGAUAUAUUCUACUGGAAUGCCUGCUCUUGAAGCCUUCGGCAAUUCUGUGAGCAGUCCGUCUGCCCUGAGGCUGCCAUACCAUGAGGACUCAAUCUAGCCCCUGUGGCGUGACCACAUGGAGCGGCUCCAAAACUGCAUGAUUACGGAGGGAUGCUCAGUUGGCCCUCAGUGCUGCCAGACCCACCCUCCACGCAACAGUGGCUUCUGCCCCCACCCUGCUAUUCCGGUUCAUCUUCUGACUACAGAUGCAUUCGUGGCUCAGCGGAAACAAAUCCGACUAGGAACCAUGAGGUUUCAGGUUUGAUCCCUGGCCUUGCCCAGUGGGUUAAGGAUCCGGCAUUGCCAUGAGCUGUGGUGUAGGUCGCAGGCACGGCUCGGAUCUGGCAUUGGUAUGGCUGUGGCGUAGGCCAGCGGCUACAGCUCCGAUUUGACCCCUAGCCUGGGAAUCUCCACAUGCCAUGGAUGUGGCCCAAAAAAGACAAAAAAUGAAAAUAAAA